GACGAACGCUGGCGGCGUGCCUAAUACAUGCAAGUAGGACGCAGUUGCGAACGGGUGAGUAACGCGUAGGUAACUACCUAUUAGAGGGGGAUAACUAUUGGAAACGAUAGCUAAUACCGCAUACUAGUAGAUGGACCUGCGUUGUAUUAGCUAGUAGGUAGGGUAAUGGCCUACCUAGGCAACGAUACAUAGCCGACGUUGUAUGGUGGACGGCCACACUGGGACUGAGACACUGCACCGACGCCGUAGGGAGGCAGCAGUAGGUAAGCGUCGGCAAUGGGGGGAACCCUGACUGAGCAACGCCGCGUGAGUUGAGAAGGUUUGCGGAUCGUAAAGCUCUGUUGUUAAGUAAUCGGUACUUAACCAGAAAUGGACGGCUAACUACGUGCCAGCAGCCGCGGUAAUUC
rnacentral:rRNA from 1 species